rnacentral:lncRNA from 1 species
CCUGUUUGACUAGCUUGUCUACGGGCCGAAAACGGGCGCUUGCCCUUCCGUGGACGUGGCCCAUGGACUAGGUGGGCUUUGAUACACCAAUUACUCUUGAAGCUCUACUCUAUGGGCCACUUCCUCAUUAGGCCUGCCUAUUAGCAAGUUAUGGGCCACGGAGGCUUUUGGCACCACACCAUCAAAUGCCGAAUUUUUUUAUUUUUUAUUUUAGUAUUUUGUAAAAAUAUAUAGCCAAAAUAAAUUGCAAAUCUAUACAUAUACCGCCGUUUGAAACGGCGGAAGCAAGGUAGCGUUAGUUGAACCGGUGGUAUUACCACCUCCUCUAGGCAGUACACUUAUAAAAAAUCAUAAAUAAUUCAUAUGAACUCGGAUGGAGAUAAACUUUAUAUGAAAAAUUGUAGAUCCCGACGAGAUAUACAACUUUUUAGCUCGAACUUUUUUCAUUUAGUGUUAUCUUUAUGCUUAAA